GGGGCCUGGCCUGGGCGGGGCGGCGGGGCGGGAGCCCGGGGCGCGCUGCUGCUUGGCCACUUUGGGCUCUAACCUCGCUCCUCCCCUGGGCUGUGGGGUUUUUUGAUUACAGGAAACUAGAGGACUGUAGGGAAGUGCCGCCUUGAGCGGGCUGAAGCGACUGCUGUCACUACUACAUUCUCUUCUAGGUGUGACAGCGCCUUGGAUCUAGAGACAAGCUUCUUGUUCGCCAGGAGCACCCCUGCAAUGUGCAUUUUCGGGUCAUAUCCGCAUAUAAAUGCCUGUUUUUAAAUACUUCAUGCACAGGUUCUUAGCAGAGAGUCAUGUUUUAGUUCUAGGAUUAUGCUUCUUUCUUUCUUUAGGGUUGCUUUUGUAAUGAAUCAGCACUUACAUACACCUCUACUAGGCAAUCAUGGAGUUGGCACCCCAAAGAAAGCUUCACCACAUGGACUGAAUUCUAUUAGCUGAGCAGAGACAGAGCAAUGUCAGCUCUCAGAGAGAGAGAGAGAGAGAGAGGCAGAGACACAGGCAGAGGGAGAAGCAGGCUCCA